CGCGUAGGAAUCUACCUGGUAGUGGGGGACAACAUGUGGAAACGCAUGCUAAUACCGCAUACGACCUAAGGGUGAAAGCGGGGGAUCUUCGGACCUCGCGCUAUCAGAUGAGCCUGCGUUAGAUUAGCUAGUUGGUGGGGUAAGAGCCUACCAAGGCGACGAUCUAUAGCUGGUCUGAGAGGAUGAUCAGCCACACUGGAACUGAGACACGGUCCAGACUCCUACGGGAGGCAGCAGUGGGGAAUAUUGCACAAUGGGCGCAAGCCUGAUGCAGCCAUGCCGCGUGUGUGAAGAAGGCUC
rnacentral:rRNA from 1 species